CCUACGGGCGGCAGCAGUCGAGAAUCAUUCACAAUGGGGGAAACCCUGAUGGUGCGACGCCGCGUGGGGGAAUGAAGGUCUUCGGAUUGUAAACCCCUGUCAUGUGGGAGCAAAUUAAAAAGAUAGUACCACAAGAGGAAGAGACGGCUAACUCUGUGCCAGCAGCCGCGGUAAUACAGCGGUCUCAAGCGUUGUUCGGAAUCACUGGGCGUAAAGGGUGCGUAGGCUGUUUCGUAAGUCGUGUGUGAAAGGCGCGGGCUCAACCCGCGGACGGCACAUGAUACUGCGAGACUAGAGUAAUGGAGGGGGAACCGGAAUUCUCGGUGUAGCAGUGAAAUGCGUAGAUAUCGAGAGGAACACUCGUGGCGAAGGCGGGUUCCUGGACAUUAACUGACGCUGAGGCACGAAGGCCAGGGGAGCGAAAGGGAUUAGAUACCCGAGUAGUC
rnacentral:rRNA from 1 species